rnacentral:rRNA from 1 species
CGAGCGUUAUCGGAAUUACUGGGCGUAAAGCGUGUGCAGGCGGUGGCGCAAGUCGGAUGUGAAAGCCCUGGGCUCAACCUGGGAAUGGCAUUCGAGACUGCGUCACUGGAGUCUGGUAGAGGGCAGUGGAAUUCCGGGUGUAGCGGUGAAAUGCGUAGAGAUCCGGAAGAACACCGAUGGCGAAGGCAGCUGCCUGGGCCAUGACUGACGCUGAGGCACGAAGGCGUGGGGAGCGAACAGGAUUAGAUACCCUGGUAGUCCACGCGGUAAACGAUGAGCACUAGACGUCGGGAAGUUUGACUUCUCGGUGUCGUAGCCAACGUGUUAAGUGCUCCGCCUGGGGGGUACGGCCGCAAGGUUGAAACUCAAAGGAAUUGACGGGGGCCCGCACAAGCGGUGGAGCAUGUGGUUUAAUUCGAUGCAACGCGAAGAACCUUACCUGCCCUUGACAUCCUGUCGCGGGCCGGGAGACCGGUCUUUCAGUUCGGCUGGACAGUGACAGGUGCUGCAUGGCUGUCGUCAGCUCGUGUCGUGGAUGUUGGGUUAAGUCCCGCAACGAGCGCAACCCUUGUCCUUAGUUGCCAGCACCCCGGGUGGGCACUCUAGGGAGACUGCCGGUGACAAACCGGAGGAAGGUGGGGAUGACGUCAAGUCCUCAUGGCCCUGAUGGGCAGGGCUACACACGUGCUACAAUGGCCGGUACAAAGGGAAUGCGAGUCCGCGAGGGCGAGCCAAUCCCGCAAAGCCGGUCGUAGUCCGAAUUGCACUCUGCAACUCGAGUGCAUGAAGUCGAAUACGUUCCCGGGCCUUGUACACACCGCCCGCCACACCAUGGAAGUUGGCGGCACCAGAAGCGGGUGGUCGAACCCUUCGGGGAAGGCGCUUGCCAACGGUGUGGUCAAUGAUCUGGG